rnacentral:rRNA from 1 species
GUAAGGGCGACUGAAAAGGGAUGAGCCCAGCGCGUAGCCUGCAGGUUCGCCCCACUCGAUGGGACACGAGCCUGCGAGGGAUGCCGCGUUUGGGAGAGGCCGUGGGAGGGCUAGACUCGGCUCGAAGUAUAUAUUGAUUGUUGUUUCGCUGUCCAUAGAGGGUGUUAGGCCCGUAGGGCCGGCGUCUAGAUACUCCCGUCGGUUUCUCUCGAGAGUCGGGUUGCUUGGAAGUGCAGCCCUAAGUAGGUGGUAAACUCCAUCUAAGGCUAAAUAUUCCCACGAGACCGAUAGAGCACAAGUACCGCGAGGGAAAGUUGAAAAGAACUCUGAAGAGAGAGUUCAAGAGAGCGUGAAACUACCACGAGGUUAAAGCGAGUGAGCGUUCGCGCCCGAACGGCUUGGUUCAACCUGCCCCGGACGAGACGCGGCGGGGGAGCGUAGCGCUAGCUUCAAACGGAUCUCCCGAGAGGCCGAGGCGUUCUGCGCCUCGCGUCUCGAGGGUUGACCGGCGCCUUCCUCACGUACGCGCGAAAGGGGGAUGCACUCCCGGCCGAAGUAGGGCGUCGCGGCCGUUCGAGGGGUGUCGAAGGCCCGGGGGUCUGGGAAACCGUAUCUUCCCUCUCUUCGCGCUCGUCGCGAUGAUGACGGGUCGAGCGGGGCCGCCCCGGUGUCCUGACGGUCCCUCGGACGGUGAAAUCACGUCUAAAGCGAGCCGGUAUAGGUGGUUUAUCGACGGGGCGGCGGCCUCUCGUUC